AACGCGAAGAACCUUACCAGCGUUUGACAUGGCAGGGCGGUUUCCAGAGNUGGAUUCCUUCUCGCAAGAGACCUGCACCACAGGUGCUGCAUGGCUGUCGUCAGCUCGUGUCGUGAGAUGUUGGGUUAAGUCCACGCAAACGAGCGCAACCCUCGUCCUUAGUUGCAACACAUUCAGUUGUGCACUACUAAGGAAACCGCGGUGAUAAGCCGGAGGAAGGUGGGGAUGACGUCAAGUCCCUCAUGGCCCUUACGCGCUGGGCUAACAACGUGCUAAAUGGCAGGUGACAAAUUGGGGUUUGCCACCCCGGAGGGGGACGCUAAUCUCAAACAGCCGUCUCAGGUUCGGAUUGCACUCUGCAAUCGAAUGCAUGACAGGCGGAA
rnacentral:rRNA from 1 species